rnacentral:rRNA from 1 species
AUUGAACGCUGGCGGCAUGCUUUACACAUGCAAGUCGAACGGUAACAGGCCGCAAGAUGCUGACGAGUGGCGAACGGGUGAGUAAUGCAUCGGAACGUGCCCAGUCGUGGGGGAUAACGCAGCGAAAGCUGUGCUAAUACCGCAUACGAUCUGUGGAUGAAAGCGGGGGACCUUCGGGCCUCGCGCGAUUGGAGCGGCCGAUGUCAGAUUAGGUAGUUGGUGGGGUAGAGGCUCACCAAGCCAACGAUCUGUAGCUGGUCUGAGAGGACGACCAGCCACACUGGGACUGAGACACGGCCCAGACUCCUACGGGAGGCAGCAGUGGGGAAUUUUGGACAAUGGGCGCAAGCCUGAUCCAGCAAUGCCGCGUGCAGGAAGAAGGCCUUCGGGUUGUAAACUGCUUUUGUACGGAACGAAACGGUCCUGGUUAAUACCUGGGGCUAAUGACGGUACCGUAAGAAUAAGCACCGGCUAACUACGUGCCAGCCGCCGCGGUAACAC